rnacentral:lncRNA from 10 species
CAUUCAGUUAAAUUCAUCCAAUAUUUAUUGAAUCGUGAACGGUUGCAAACGUUGCCACAAUCAGAAACCCACCCAUCCUGAUGCCUCUCUUGGCUUCCCCUUGAGAAGGAUGCCUGAGGCGGGAUGUCCCCCCAAACUCCAGGGGACAACUGGGGAAGACAUGGGGUAUGCAAAGAGAUAUGAUGAAACCACGGGACAGGAGGAGGGUGGGGUGGUGUCCACAAGACUUUUCAGUCCUUCCUAUCAUGAAGCGUCUGCUGAGAGGGGCUGGGUCAAGGUCCCUGGACUGUGGAGAGAAAAAGAGGUGGUUGGGGUAGGGAGUCAGUUUGCAGGAACAGAGGCCAGGCGUGGGGCCCAUGUUAAAAGGAAGAAAGAUAGCCGGGUGUGGUGGCUCACGUCUGUAAUCCCAGCACUUUGUGAGGCUGAGGCGGGCGGAUCACUUGAGCCCAAGAGUUUGAGACCAGUCUGGGCAACAUGGUGAAAAAAACCCAUCUCUACAAAAACUAGAAAAAUUAGCUGGGCGUGAUGGUGCACAACUGUAGUCCCAGCUACUUGGGAGGCUGUGGCAGGAGAAUCGCUUGAGCCUGGGAGGUGGAGGUUGUAGUGAGCUGAGAUCGCGCCACUGCACUCCAGCCUGGGUGACAGAGCGAGACUCUGUCUCAAAAAAAAAAAAGAAUUCAAAGCCUGCAUGGUGGCACCCCACCCCACGCUCAACAGCAACAGUCCACAAUGCAUUCAGCUGAUGCAGCUUUGGAAUUAGGCAAUUCCAUUUUUCUUUUCCUUUAUGUUAGAGGGAUUUGCUUUGUUUCAGACCUGCACAUAAGGCAAGAUAUCGUUUCUGCAUUACUUCAAAUUGGCACGUCCCAAUUCACAUUGAACAUGACCUCAUUCUGCUCUGGUAAAGAAUUUUAGGAAAUGGAACUUGAGUUUAACGCAUUUGAAAACUAGUUUUCUGGCACAAGGCACACUGGGAGCUGGUACUUGGGUCCACAGUGUGUUGGGAUGGGAUACUCUGUUCUAGAUCAACAUGGAAUGGGAACUGGUGCUGAAGGUUAGAGGGGAGUAAAAAGUAUGGCCAGGCGCAGUGGCUCACGCCUAUAAUCCCAGCACUUCGGGAGGCCGAAGCAGGCGGAUCACCUGAGGUCAAGAGUUCAAAACCAGCCUGGCUAACACGGUGAAACCCCGUCUCUACUAAAAAAUACAAAAAAUUAGCCAGGCGUGGUGGCAGGCGCUUGUAGUCCCAGCUACUUGGGAGGCUGAGGCAGGAGAAUGGCGUGAACCCGGGAGGCGGAGCUUGCAGUGAGCCGAGAUCACGCCACUGCACUCCAGCCUGGGCGACAGAGACUCCGUCUUAGAAAAAAAAAAAAAAAUUUGCCCAGCAUGGUGGCAGACAUCUGUAAUUCCAGCUACUCACGAGGCUGAGACACAAGAAUCCCUUGAACCCAGGAGGCAGAUGUUGCAGUGAGCCGAGAUCACACUACUGUACUCCAGCCUGGGCGACAGAGCGAGACUCCACCUCAAAAAAUAAACUAUGCUCCAGGCCCUGCAGUGCCAGAGACCAGAAAAAGGGCUAGUAACUGUUCUAGAAUGGGUUGGGUUUCACGCUUAUCUGGACCAUACUGGCUUACAAACUGGAAAAUCAGACUCAGAAGGUGCUGGAAAGUAGUUCUUUGUUCCUGAGGUUCAUAUAGAAAUUGCCACUUGUUCCACAAUGUAUUAGGCUGGAAACAAUACUUGGUUCAGAGUGCUUAAGGAGGCCAAGCACGGUGGCUCACGCCUGUAAUCCCAACACUUUGGAAGGCCAAGGCAGGUGGAUCACCUGAAGACCAGCCUGGCCAACAGGAUCAGACCUACUAAAAAUACAAAAAUUAGCCGGGCAUAGUGGCAUGUGCCUGUAAUCCCAGCUACUUGGGAGGCUGACACAGGAGAAUUGCUUGAACUCGGGAGGCAGAGGCUGCAGUGAGCCGAGAUCGCGCCACUGCACUCCAGCCCGGGAGACAGAGCAAGACUCCAUCUCAAAAAAAAAAGAAAGAAAGAAAGAAAAACAGUGAUAAGGAACCAGUAGCCAACUCCAGGAACUAGUGGUCAAUUCUAGUGCUUAGGAGCUGGUUCACAUUUUUCAAUUGCUGGGUUGGGAAGGGGGGCUCAGGUUUACAGUGUGUUGGGAGCUGGUGGUGUAUUUCAUUCUCGGCUCUAUGGGGAGAACUGGGAGUCAGCUCUAGGGUUUUUUUGGAGCAGACAAUCCAUUCUAGAGUUAGCAUUUGUUUCUAGAGCAUUCUUGGACUCAUGUUCAGUUCCAAAGUGGGUAAGUUUCUGGAGCUGGAUCAGGUCUGGAAUAUUCCUAGAACUAAUUCUCAGGUUCAGAGCCCGGUGAUAAUUAGUGACCUACUCGAAAUUGUGGAGCAAGGAAAUUCUGUCUCAAAACAUGCUGGGAACUUGGCCGGACGCUGUCACAUGACCUGCUGGGUUGGGAACUGUUUCUUGGCAAUGGGACAAAGACCUAGAGUUCCGGAUUCUGAACCGUUGGGUUGCUAGCACUUUUCAUUCCCAAACCAGGAGAGCUGUUUUAGGGCAGCCCUCUGACCCCACCACCAACUCAGCUGUCAUCUUGCAUACCCCAUCUCAGCUGUCAUCCUGCAUACCUCUGACCCUAUCUCAGCUGUCAUCCUGCACACCUCUGACCCCAUCUCAGCUGUCAUCCUGCACAUCUCUGACCCAUCACCAUCUCAGCCGUCAUCCUGCACACCUCUGACCCAUCACCAUCUCAGCCAUCAUCCUGCACACCUCUGACUCAUCAGCAUCUCAGCCGUCAUCCUGCACACCUCUGACCCAUCACCAUCUCAGCCGUCAUCCUGCAUACCUUUGACCCAUCACCAUCUCAGCUGUCAUCCUGCACACCUCUGACCCAUCACCAUCUCAGCUGUCAUCCUGCAUACCUUUGACCCCAUCUCAGCUGUCAUCCUGCAUAUCUCUGACCCAUCACCAUCUCAGCUGUCACCCUGCACACCUCUGACCCCAUCUCAGUUGUUGUCCUCCACCAACCGGGUCUAACUUUAUCCCGCUCGCUCUGGGGACACACGUGAUGUCCCCCCCAUCUCCCAGGCUCUCCACCCUGGGCCAAGGAGUCAGAGCAUGGGGCAGGGAGAAGAUCCAAAGGGUGGUGUCCCUGUCUAGUGGGCCCCCUCACCUCUGCCUUCAGGGCGCAUUAGCCCUGAGCCAAGGCGGCUUUGAUGGCGGCCACCAACUUCAGAAACUUGCUUUCUGUGUCCACGUAGCCAUCGCCUUUCUAGGGAGGGGAGGAAGAGGGAAGGGGUGAGCUGGGACCGAGACACCAACCUCAGCCCCAACCCCAUGCUAGCCCCAAAACCAGGCAGGACGGACAGACAGACAUACCUUCUUAGAGUGAAUCAACUUCCCGGCUACCAUCACUUCAAAGAACCCGGUGGCCUGGGGAGUUCCCUCGCCGCACUGAGGAAAGGGGGUAGGGGAGAUGUUGGAGGGGCUAAGAUGUCCUCUUGGGGAGACCCUCCCCUUCCCAGGGGGAUGAGAACAUGGGUGAAGGGCGUAGGGCUGACCUAACCCCCCUGCAGUGCCAUCCAGGCCUAACGGACCGACACAGUGGCUGUGCUCAAGUCUUUCUCCCCAUCCCAAGACUCACGAUGUCCAGGCGGCCGGGGAACUCAUCUUCUAACUUCUUCUUGAGCUGAAGAUACUGAAAACGCGGUGAGAGGUCACAGCAGGGGUCAUACCAGUCAGCCCCCUCCCAAUAUGCACUCUACCCCUCCCCAGCUCCCAGGAAUGCCCCCCGGGCAUCCACUCUGCUUACCUUGGACUUGUAGCCUCAAGCGCCACUGGUAGGAGAGUCCAAGACAUUGGGGCCCAGGGGAGAGAGGGAGAAGUGGGGGAUCGGGGAGAGGAGGGUAGACACAGGCGGUGUGGGGAGAGAGCAAGAUGGGGCCAGGAAGAAAUAAAGAGGAACACAGAUGACCAAGCAGAAGAGGUGACAGAUGCCCUCAAGAGAGAAGACAGGCACCAGCCAGGCAGAGUUUUGGGACACAGCACAGGGGGUGGCGCGGGGACACACAGAGACACACAGAAAACCAACACCAAGCAAGAGACAGAGAAGGGGGAGGGGAAAAAGGGGAGAGAGGAGACAAGGAGACCACAAAUACGAGAGACGGGGACGGGGGAAAACCAGGAGAACUGGAUUAGGAGAAGAACAGCACACGUAAGGUCCCCACCCACUCCCUGUGCCCACCACCCUCACCCACAGCCCUCGCAGCACUCCAAGGAAAACCCUGCGGCUCCUGGAUUCUUACACCACGCCCAGCUAAUUUUUGUAUUUUCACCAUGUUGGCCAGGCUGGUCUCGAACUCCUAACCUCAGGGGAUCGGCCCGCCCCAGCCUCCCAAAGUGCUGAGAUUACAGGCAGGAGCCACCGCACCCGGCCCCGCAGCUCCUAGAUUCUGAACACCUUCCCAGUCCCCAGGGUGAAAUACAGGCUCACCCAACCCCCACAGCAGGCUAUUUCGGGACUGGAAUCUGGUGUACAGGCCUGGUAGGCGUCUCAAAAUGUCACUCUUGCCUCUGCUUUGUCGAGCAGGCAGAGACGUUGGAAAGCUGCCGACAAACCCAGGUUCCAGUUACCCCUGUCACCUGCAGUCCAGACUUGAAGCUACUGACCUGCCCCCACCCCAGUCCCAGCCUCAGUUUUCUCACCUGUAACAUAGAACUAAAAUUCCUCUCUUUAAUUUACUUUUUUUUUUUGAGACAGAGUCUCGCUCUGCUGUCCAGGAUGGAGUGCAGUGGCACGAUUUCAGCUCACUGCAACUUCCGCCUUCCGGGCUCCAGUGAUCCUCCUGCCUCAGCCUCCCAAGCAGCUGCGACUACAGGAGUGCGCCACCAUGCCCGGCUAACUUUUUAAGUUUCUGUAGAGACGAGGGGGGGGUCUCCCUGGGUUGCCCAGGCUGGUCUCGAACUCUUGGGCUCAAGCGAUCCACCCGCCUCAGCCUCCCAGUGUUUGGAUUACAGGCGUGAUCAACGGCACCUGGCCUAAAAUUCCCCUCUCUUAAGGGAUUCCUGGGAGGAUAAAUUCAUUGAACACGUAUUUAUUAAAUACCUACAGCAUGCCACACAGUAUUAGGUGCUGGGGAGUGGAGAGAACGUAAUUUAUAUCCUAUCCUAUUAUACCCUUCCUGAGACUUGCAGAAAUUAAGCGUGUUCGGUAUUGACACAGAGCCUCCCUCUUGCCACAGACGGAAAACUGAGGCCAGAAAAGGAGUGGGGUUCGUGGCCAAGGGAACCCACUGGGCAGAGGCCAACAAUUCAAGUGCUUCUGAAACACAGGCUGAGACAUUCUCGAACCUUCUGGGCUCUCACUGUCCCCACCCCGCGACUGUUCGGGAUAUUGGGGGAGGGGAAGCCUUAGGGUGGAGGAGCCUUAGGUCCCUUUACAAAGCUGACCCCCAGCCCCUUCCCCAGCGGAGCCCCGGAGUCGGGGGUUCGAAAUUGACACACACUCGUCUCAGCCCCACCUUUUAUAACCCGAGAUGCCCAGCGUGUCACAAGUCGAAGACGGGGCCUAGGGACGACCGCCCUCUGUUUUUCGCCCCUCCGUACGCCCACCCCACCCACAUACAGGGGCUCCCUUUUCCCAUACAAGGGCUCCCAUGGGUCCUCUCCCCGGGGCUCCCUGACCCCGGCUCCGAGAAUCGGGUCCCGGCGGGGGUCGGGGACGGGGGCCGCUGGCCGCUGGGCUUACCAAUAAACGACUCGGACGGCGAGAGCCAUGGCUCGGGGCUGCCACAUCCGCUGAGGAGCGGACGCCCGGGCCACACUAACCUCCCACCUGGACGCGCUAGGUCUGCGCGAGUGCGGCGGGAACCUGCGCAGAAAGGAUGGAGCCUCGGCUUCCCCUGGCGCCAACCAAUGCCAGGGAGGGGCGGUGGGCGGUGGGCGGAGAGGCGCCAAGGCGGAGGAUAAGGAACCCGCGACCCGCCAGCCCGAGGCCCCCACACAAGUCUCCUUCCCAUCCUCCUGUUGGGCUGGAGAGAGUCUCGAUACAG